AUAUAGUAUCCCAAGUAUGUAAUUGAUAUCUCUGCAUAAAAAUUCUGCUUUUCUGCAUAACUACUCACCUAUAAAGCACCAUAUGAUGAAACGAAUCCAGGUUACUGGUGAUAACUUGAGCAUCAGGAUUCUGCGGCUGCUGGCAAACCAGGAUAAUCAGAAUAAUGAGAAUUAUGAUGAAGAAAGCAAGAAGUAGAAGAGCCCACCAUGCUUUGUUAAUUAGGUGGUUGGCUGGAUGAAAGGGAGUUCCUUACACCAGCUGCUACAAUCACUGUCAUUGCAAGCACAAUGAACAAAGCUAUAAUGUCUGGGUAGGAGUUCGGGUCAUCGUGGCCGGCUGGAAAGAAAGAACUUGUAAAACGAUUUUGAUGACGUCUUGAUUACGUCAUCGCCAUGACGUCAUACCUGAUAACAAAGACACGAGUCCAGCGAUGAUAAAAGAGAAGAUGACACCUGGACCAGCAAUCUCCCUCGCCACCAUACCCGACACCACAUACAUUCCUGUGCCACCACAACUUCCCACGCCCAAUGACGUCAGAUCCAAUGUCGUCAAACAUUUCGGAAGCUUUGUUGACGUCACAGAUUUCCUUCUUUCGUCACGCAUGGCUUCGAUCGGCCGCUUUCUGAAAAGUCACGUAAUAAAGAAACUGAAUGACGUAACAAGAAGGUCUGCACCUGACACAAUGAACGUCUGCCACGUCACAAACAUACCUUGUUAAUCGCGCUGCCAUGCGAUGCGAAGAUUCUUUGAAGGAAUUCCAUCUCCAUGAACUUGGUUGAAAGCAAUUCAUUUUAACUUAACAUGGAACUAAAAGCCAGAUGGGGCGAGAAAAUUGAUGUAAAGGUGUCCCAUAUUUCCCCACCCUACUAUAUAUCCCACCACGACCAAGAGGCUUACGAAUGGAAUUCGGAAGUGGCCCUAAUUGUAGAAGCUCUUAGUGAAAUUGUUUCAUCGAUUCGAGCGAAAUGGAAGAGCCUCUUGCCACUAAUCCACGCGACAUGAAUUUUUUCACUUAUAGUUACAACUCCCUUUUGUACAGCGGUCAAUAGAAACACUCGUGGGGAAACGGACAGAUUUUCAAUCGAACAGCGAAUUUUCAAUUAACGCUUUUUUACCCGCGUGUGUUAACGUGAACAGUCCCCAAGCAACAUAUUAACACGAUUCGAUUUUAAGUUUUUAACAAAAUUAACUGUAUUUUUUACAAUUUUAUUUCUUACAGAAUUUUUUAGUGUUUGUAUACGGAAACUAUUAGGCAUCGUGUUCUAUGCGCAGUUUUUGCUUCACAAGAUUUUAAAAAGCUGUUCUGGAUGUAAUUCGUUUUACCCUUGCGUGGGCGGAAAACCACAGUCGUUAUAACACGGGUGUUCUGUUUCAUGCACCUUGUGCCUGGUUACGAGUUACCACUUAUUCAUGUAACUUUGUUAGUGAUUGUUGUUCUGUCAUAUUAACCAAUGACUUGCUGGGCGUUUUAAAAAUAAAAUGUCAAAACAUUGAA